GCAAGAGUAAAUUCGUAACAAUAUAUCACUAGAUUCUGCAAUGCGUGCUCUCGUGCCCUUGUAUAUUUCGGUAUAGUAUUUUUGCAAUCUGCAAUCUUGCAAGAGCAAGCGAAUACCCUUAUGGUCUAUCUCAAGUGGAUUGUAGAUAUACUGCUUAGAAUGUAAGAUGAAUAUUUGUAUUCAGGCUUAAGAAAAAUAUUGUAUUAAAGAAGAGAAAAUAAAAUAAAACGAGGCAGUUGCCCGUAGUUGCCCACGAAACAAAACCGAAUUAUUAAUUUGCACAGGGCAAAAGUUUUACAAGGCCAAGAGUAUUUCAUUUUCAUUUUCCCCAUAUGGUAUUUCAUUUUCAAACCUAAAAUUUGGUGUGAACACCAGGCUAUACACGAUACAACAGUAUGCCAUACUUCACCUGUAGUACACAAGAAUGAUAGAAUACAAGAUUACGACACUAGUUUACCGUUAGUUUUUUUCGGUUUAGCUCUUGACAAUUCUACAAAAACAAAUACAUUGUGCAACAAUUUCGUGACGUCACACUUGUGCGUUGAGAAGAACAAGCAUAGAAAUGCAUACAAAUUGAAAAAUUUCAGUGGAAUGUUUAGAAUAUUGUUGCGAGAAAAGAUAUAUGUAAGUAGUUUUAGGCACAUCCACAAUAAAUAGAGUAGCAUGUGUGGAAAUUGUUCAAAUGAAGAAAACCAGUGAAAGUGUACUGUUGUAUUUAUUUAAAUUUCUAAGCAUAAAUAUAUUAAUUUUCUAAAAUGAAA